CCCAUGGGUUCGCGGCGGAGAGGGGCCGCGCGACACGAAGAGGUCGUUGAGUCGCGUGGGUUUUAAAAGGCAAAGGCUUCAUCCUCCUCAACCGUGUCCCCAGAUCCAGAGACGGGAAACGAAACGGCGAUUGCGAUCGCGAUUAGUGACCUCUCCGUCGAUAGCGAGUUAACCGGCCGUGGAUUUCCAGUGGUGAGCUGUGACGGUGCGCAGCGGGAGACCAAAGCCCUGCAAAGCUAGAUUGCAUACUGUUGGGUCAAUUGGCUAACAGCUCUAGAUAGAGGUUUCACAAUGGAUAUUUCUUGGGAUGAUGGGAUAAGGUUAUGGUCCCUCAUGUGGAAAAAAGAACAGAUGAUGGCUAAGAAAAGGAGGUUACUGAUGGGACCAGUAACUUCACUGGAUGGGCAUAUAAAGAGAUGCAAAAAACCACAAAUUGCAACAAACUUGUACUUGCCAGAAUAUUAUGUUAGGAAUGAUGAAGUCACCGCUGAUUAUGUAAGAACAGCUAUUGAAAGAAGUUUCUCAUGUGAUGGUAAAGGCAACAAUCAAAUGAUUCAAGACUAUUUACAGCUUGUUCACAUGCAUGUUGAGAAAAAUAAAUGCAAUAAUGGUCUCCAAGUGAAGCAAAAACAAAAUGCAGUAAGAAACAAAGAGAAGUUUGUUCAUGAAACUCCUACCUUUCAAUUUUGCCUGAAGUCUAUUAACAAUAUGUUGGAAGCACUUGAUGAAAUGUCCCAUCAGGAUCUUACUGCAACAAAUAGGAAACUUAGAAGUGUAUCACUGAAAUUAAAAUUUCCACUCACUCGCUUUACUGGAAGCAGGGAAUUGCUUAUUGAGCGAUUAAAGAAAAAGUUCCAAAAGUUUAUAUCAAAACUUAGCGAUGGGGAUGCAUUGCCAGAACCUUUAUUCAAUGCACUCUCUGUGAUUUAUUUGUCUUUCAUGCAUAGAUCCCGGCAUAUUGAUAUGGUAAAAUCAAAGUUUUACCCUUUCUCACCUGAUGUAGCAGCUUUGCAGAGCAAUAUUAUAAAAGCACUUGGGGUGCUUCCAAAAGUUAAAAAUGAUGAAUUGAAAGAUAUACAUGCCUUACUGGAUCCGGAAGCUAAAGUUCCUCCAAGACGUUUCAAGUGUGCACUUCGGAAUUACUUGAUAGAGUACUUGUUUGAAUGCAAUGAAAUAGAUAUCACACAGGAGUUAUUAAAUAUCAUUCAUUUAAUAAACCAAAGGAUGCAUAGUCAGACUGUUACACUCUCUACAAAGACAAUAGAAGAGGAGGUUGAAGUUGUAAUGGUUUCCAGCUGUCACCUUAAUCAAAUUAUGUCAAGCCCACUUUCAGAUCAGAGUGAUGAUGAGAAUCUUUUACAUGGGUUUGGAAAUAAUGAAAGUGCGGAUGCUUUUAGUUUGGCUGGAACUGAUUAUUUCUUGUGUCUUAGUGAAAAUGAAGAUGGGGAGGUAUAUGGGUGUUGCUCUAACUUUGAAGCUGGAGCUACUGGGCAAGCCACUCCUAGUACAGAUCUUUCCUUUCAAAAAGUGGUCACUGAGGAAAUUAAUCUGAACAGUAAAGGAAGUCCUGCAUUUGAGCAAGAUGAUGUAGAUGAGGAGAAACCUUGUCUUGAAGAAGCUGCAAAUUUUGGUCUUGAUAGAACUACCCAAAACUCAAAAAGCUUGAGACUCAAAUCUAAUCAAGAAGUUUGUGACGAGACAUCACUGGUUGCUUAUAAAUUGAUUGGCUCGAUACUUGAUAACUUACUAAAAACUGAAGGCACAGUUGUAGAUUUGUCGACAAGAUGCUACUUAAAUGGUGGAUUAUCAGAUCCUGCAGAUUUGUCAGAUGCUGAAGGCGUGCUGAACACUUCAAAAAUAAAUUAUGAGCGUCAUAUGCUUGUUCAAACUGUUGAAGAGCUAGUACCUUCCUUGUCGAAGAGUUGUAUUAGAAGAAUGAAGAAUUUCAUGGGUAUCUGAUUCAGUUUCUAUCCCAAGGAUAAUUCAAGGAUGCAAAAAAAAGUAUUUGGUGGAAAACUUUAAUUCUUUGGUGUUCCUGUUGGCACGCUGCUAACAGCUUUUGCUGUCCCUAGAGCCAAAGCAAGAGUACAUUAUGAAAAUUUUCAUCUUGGCUAAACAGAAUACUUUCACUGAGCAUUAUCCUUGUCUAUCAUGAGAAUCUUAGAAGAUUGGGUGGAAACAUGUUUGUUGUUUUUUCAAAUUUGCCAGGGCAAUGGUAAAUGCAGCAAGAAUUUGUGCUUGAAGAUCUUGGCAAUAAAUAAUAAAAAAAUGUUGAAAGAGCAAAGCAGCUGGUCCAGAAAGAACAAUGCAUCAAAGAGUGCUCCUUCACGCAACUUGGAUGUUAGAAUUCUUUGGUAUUUGGAUGAUACCCAAUCCCUGGUAUUAUCUAAGCUGGAUGAGCAUCAUAGUAAUCCACCUUGAUCCUCCUGUCAUUUUUGUAGUCUGCAUGAUCACUCUUUUUUUUUUUUGAAACAUUGUAGUUUUUUUGCUAUAGCCUAUUCAAAUGAUUGCUUCUUUUUUUCCCUUGUUCACUGCUGGUGUAAAGAUAGCAUAGAAAUAAGCUAAAGAGACAGGAACUUAUCAUGAACUUGAAAUAUCAUGCCUGUUUCUUGUGUCAAUGUACUCAAAAUAGGUCUUUAUUUCGAAAUAGGAGAAAGAAACAUAAACCCUGAGAUGAAUAUAGAAGUUAACUUUGGGUUGCUGUUCAAAGAUAAUCUUGCUGUGCGAAUAACAUACCUAGGGCUCUUAAAUGAGUAAUUUUCCCUUAUCAGUUUCUUACCAUUUAGCUUGUUGGGUGUUUAAAUAGUUCCAUCAAGUCCACUUCGAGGGGAGGGAAUGGCAACUGCAGAAAAAGGAUGUAUGGUUCUCUCUUUUGUAGAAGACUUUCUAGCUUUCCAAGCUUUAUAUCCAAACCACUUCCUUGAAAUGGCUUGCAAAAGAUCCUUUAGGCAUGUUUGAGAUGAGGUGGGCAUAGGUUUCAAUGAAAUUGAGCUCAGAGGGGGGCUCAUGACGGAUGUGCAGAAUCAAUUGUGUGUGUAGGCGAAGGCAAGGUCAUGACAAAUUCGACCUAGCUUAGCUUGGUGACACUUUCUAUUUGAUAUUUGUUUAGAACCAUCUAACGUUGAUAGUAGUUUGACUGUAUUAGUGGACCGCAUCUAAAUGUUCAACGCCCCAAUUGAACUUACUCACUUGACCAUGCUUUGAUGGCCUGAUAUGUUUGGUGUAAAUUGAGCAAAGAGAGAUUUAGUAAAUUGAAUGAUAGGUGAUCAAAUGAUAAAAUGAAAUGA